UGGACUCAUAAUGGUUUAGCUGGUCGGGACUUCAUCUGCAGUUGCGGGAGUUUACCUAAUGUGCCUUUAGUGGGAGUUCAGGGUUGCAUUAAUUACAACCCGAUGCUUCUCCGGAGACAGAUGGGGUUCGCUAUGGAGGUUCCUCCUCUCGGGCGAGAGAUUCAGGAAUCCUUUUACUUUCCGAUUGAUGGCAACCAGGCCAAGCUGAGGCAAGUGUUAGAUGAGUGGCGAGAUAUCCAAAGGAAGGGUAAGGUUCCGUUUGGUAAAGUCAA
rnacentral:lncRNA from 1 species